AUUGAACGCUGGCGGCAUGCUUUACACAUGCAAGUCGGACGGCAGCACAGAGGAGCUUGCUUCUUGGGUGGCGAGUGGCGAACGGGUGAGUAACGCAUCGGAACGUACCGAGUAAUGGGGGAUAACUGUCCGAAAGGACAGCUAAUACCGCAUACGCCCUGAGGGGGAAAGCGGGGGAUCUUAGGACCUCGCGUUAUUCGAGCGGCCGAUGUCUGAUUAGCUGGUUGGCGGGGUAAAGGCCCACCAAGGCGACGAUCAGUAGCGGGUCUGAGAGGAUGAUCCGCGACACUGGGAGUGAGACACGGCCCAGACUCCUACGGGAGGCAGCAGUGGGGAAUUUUGGACAAUGGGCGCAAGCCUGAUCCAGCCAUGCCGCGUGUCUGAAGAAGGCCUUCGGGUUGUAAAGGACUUUUGUCAGGGAAGAAAAGGGGCAUGUUAAUACCGUGCUCUGAUGACGGUACCUGAAGAAUAAGCACCGGCUAACUACGUG
rnacentral:rRNA from 1 species